GUGAGUAACGCGUAGGUUACCUGCCUGGUAGCGGGGGGAUAACUAUUGGAAACGAUAGCUAAUACCGCACAAUAUUGAUUAUUGCAUGAUAAUUGAUUGAAAGAUGCUAUUGCAUCACUACCAGAUGGACCUGCGUUGUAUUAGCUAGUAGGUGAGGUAGCGGCUCACCUAGGCGACGAUACAUAGCCGACCUGAGAGGGUGAUCGGCCACACUGGGACUGAGACACGGCCCAGACUCCUACGGGAGGCAGCAGUAGGGAAUCUUCGGCAAUGGACGAAAGUCUGACCGAGCAACGCCGCGUGAGUGAAGAAGGUUUUCGGAUCGUAAAGCUCUGUUGUAAGAGAAGAACGGGUGUGAGAGUGGAAAGUUCACACUGUGACG
rnacentral:rRNA from 1 species